rnacentral:lncRNA from 1 species
UGCUGUCACCCUUGGGAGAUAUAUACCAAGGUAAAACGAUCACCUCGUAGUGCUAAACAAGUAGGCAAAAGGUCUGCUGUAACCAAAGGUAAAACUAUCCCCUCACAAUGCUAAAGAAGUAGGCAAAAGGUCUGCGGUAACUAAUGUUGGUAGUGAAGGACACUAUUAUGAUGUCCUUGCACAGAUGGUUUAGCCUAUAAAUGGAACACCCAUUGGCCGAGCGAAUUUGAAAAUGUGGUUCCUUUAAAACACCCAGAUGUUGUCAUGCG